AAGGUCUGUCAGAAGGGUGAUAC
rnacentral:miRNA from 1 species